GAAAUGCGAUACGUAGUACGAAUUGCAGCUUCCGUGAAUCAUCGAAUCUUUGAACGCACAUUGCGCCCCCUGGCAUUCCGGGGGGCAUGCCUGUCCGAGCGUCAUUUCUGCCCGAAAGGCAGUGGCGGCGCCCGCCUUCGGUCCUCGAGCGUAUGGGGCUAUGUCACCCGCUCGGGAGGGGCCUGCGCGCGUUGGUCAUCCCCCCCUAUUUUUCCACGGUUGACCUCGGAUCAGGUAGGAGUUACCCGCUGAACUUAA
rnacentral:misc_RNA from 1 species